rnacentral:rRNA from 1 species
UGGGGAAUAUUGGACAAUGGGCGAAAGCCUGAUCAAGCCAUGCCGCGUGUGUGAAGAAGGUCUUCGGAUUGUAAAGCACUUUAAGUUGGGAGGAAGGGCAUUAACCUAAUACGUUAGUGUUUUGACGUUACGGACAGAAUAAGCACCGGCUAAGUCUGUGCCAGCAGCCGCGGUAAUACAGAGGGUGCAAGCGUUAAUCGGAAUUACUGGGCGUAAAGCGCGCGUAGGUGGUUUGUUAAGUUGGAUGUGAAAUCCCCGGGCUCAACCUGGGAACUGCAUUCAAAACUGACUGACUAGAGUAUGGUAGAGGGUGGUGGAAUUUCCUGUGUAGCGGUGAAAUGCGUAGAUAUAGGAAGGAACACCAGUGGCGAAGGCGACCACCUGGACUAAUACUGACACUGAGGUGCGAAAGCGUGGGGAGCAAACA